rnacentral:rRNA from 1 species
GGGUCAGUAGGUUGGUCGUGCCACCGGUACGUACUGGUCUCACUGGUUCCUCCUUCCUGAAGAACCCUAAUGCCAUUAAUUUGGUGUUGCGGGGAAACAGGACUGUUACUUUGAAAAAAUUAGAGUGUUUAAAGCAAGCUAACGCUUGAAUACAUUAGCAUGGAAUAAUGAAAUAGGACGAUCGAUCCUAUUUUGUUGGUUUCUAGGAUUGACGUA